GACGGGACCCGCACAAGCGGUGGAUGAUGUGAUUAAUUCGAUGCAACGCGAAAACCUUACCUACCCUUGACAUGUCCGGAAUCCCGAAGAGAUUUGGGAGUGCUCGCAAGAGAACCGGAACACAGGUGCUGCGUGGCUGUCGUCAGCUCGUGUCGUGAGAUGUUGGGUUAAGUCCCGCAACGAGCGCAGCCCUUGUCAUUAGUUGCCAUCAUUUGGUUGGGCACUCUAAUGAGACUGCCGGUGACAAACCGGAGGAAGGUGGGGAUGACGUCAAGUCCUCAUGGCCCUUAUGGGUAGGGCUUCACACGUCAUACGAUGGUCGGUACAGAGGGUUGCCAACCCGCGAGGGGGAGCUAAUCCCACAAAGCCGAUCGUAGUCCGGAUCGCAGUCUGCAACUCGACUGCGUGAAGUCGGAAUCGCUAGUAAUCGUGGAUCAGCAUGUCACGGUGAAUACGUUCCCGGGUCUU
rnacentral:rRNA from 1 species